GAUGAACGCUGGCGGCGUGCCUAAUACAUGCAAGUCGAGCGAAUGGAUUGAGAGCUUGCUCUUAUGAAGUUAGCGGCGGACGGGUGAGUAACACGUGGGUAACCUGCCCAUAAGACUGGGAUAACUCCGGGAAACCGGGGCUAAUACCGGAUAACAUUUUGAACCGAAUGGUUCGAAAUUGAAAGGCGGCUUCGGCUGUCACUUAUGGAUGGACCCGCGUCGCAUUAGCUAGUUGGUGAGGUAACGGCUCACCAAGGCAACGAUGCGUAGCCGACCUGAGAGGGUGAUCGGCCACACUGGGACUGAGGCACGGCCCAGACUCCUACGGGAGGCAGCAGUAGGGAAUCUUCCGCAAUGGACGAAAGUCUGACGGAGCAACGCCGCGUGAGUGAUGAAGGCUUUCGGGUCGUAAAACUCUGUUGUUAGGGAAGAACAAGUGCUAGUUGAAUAAGCUGGCACCUUGACGGUACCUAACCAGAAAGCCACGGCUAACUACGUGCCAGCAGCCGCCGUAA
rnacentral:rRNA from 1 species